GAUGAACGCUGGCGGCGUGCCUAAUACAUGCAAGUCGAGCGAACGGACGAGAAGCUUGCUUCUCUGAUGUUAGCGGCGGACGGGUGAGUAACACGUGGAUAACCUACCUAUAAGACUGGGAUAACUUCGGGAAACCGGAGCUAAUACCGGAUAAUAUUUUGAACCGCAUGGUUCAAAAGUGAAAGACGGUCUUGCUGUCACUUAUAGAUGGAUCCGCGCUGCAUUAGCUAGUUGGUGAGGUAACGGCUUACCAAGGCAACGAUGCAUAGCCGACCUGAGAGGGUGAUCGGCCACACUGGAACUGAGACACGGUCCAGACUCCUACGGGAGGCAGCAGUAGGGAAUCUUCCGCAAUGGGCGAAAGCCUGACGGAGCAACGCCGCGUGAGUGAUGAAGGCCUUCGGAUCGUAAAACUCUGUUAUUAGGGAAGAACAUAUGUGUAAGUAACUGUGCACAUCUUGACGGUACCUAAUCAGAAAGCCACGGCUAACUACGUG
rnacentral:rRNA from 1 species